GACGAACGCUGGCGGCGUGCUUAACACAUGCAAGUCGAACGGUAAGGCUCCAGCUUGCUGGGGUACACGAGUGGCGAACGGGUGAGUAACACGUGGGUGACCUGCCCUGCACUUCGGGAUAAGCCUGGGAAACUGGGUCUAAUACCGGAUAGGACCGCACCGUGAGGGGGUGGUGGAAAGUUUUUUCGGUGUGGGAUGGGCCCGCGGCCUAUCAGCUUGUUGGUGGGGUAAUGGCCUACCAAGGCGGCGACGGGUAGCCGGCCUGAGAGGGUGGACGGCCACAUUGGGACUGAGACACGGCCCAGACUCCUACGGGAGGCAGCAGUGGGGAAUAUUGCACAAUGGGCGGAAGCCUGAUGCAGCGACGCCGCGUGGGGGAUGACGGCCUUCGGGUUGUAAACUCCUUUCACCAUAGACGAAGGGUUUCUGACGGUAGAUGGAGAAGAAGCACCGGCUAACUACGUG
rnacentral:rRNA from 1 species